GAGUCUCUCCAUGACUAGCAAAGGAGGAGGACUGGCUCCUGAGGGGGUGAGAAUGGAGUAGGAAACACUACUAGAGGGCAGUGUCCUGAAGAGGACACUGCCGAGUGGGGAGCAACGUGGGUCCCAAAUCAGCAGAGCAGACAACGGGCAAGACACCACGCACAGAAGGCGCUCUGUAGCUGACAAGCUAAUUCCUGGAGCAACCAGCAGGAGGCGCCAGCAGUGGGCUACAACAACACUGCAUACAUGGAUUAUGAGUCAUUUGGGAUAAAUUUACCAAAAUCUGUGAAGACUGGAAAUGAGCUUAAUUCAAAUAAAACAAUAGACCUUUCUGGAACCAUGAAAUGGCACAAGCUCCAGUAAAAUCUUUGUCAAAGUGGAAGUAGUGCAUGGAGCAGCAAAGCUCAAAACUUUCAGUCAACUACAACAAGAGAUUUAGAGAUGUGGAUUUGGUCCAAUUUGAGCCACUAGUGAUAGGCCACUAAUGUAGCUGCACUGGUACAAACCCUAGCAUAGACAGGGUAAACUGUGCUAAGUCACAAUUUAUACUGGUGCAGUUUAUCCUGACUUCAAGUAGGGGUGAGUCCCAUGAGAGAAAAUAGUGGCUUUGCUUGCCUACAUUAGUAGGUUUGCAUGGGUGAAGCUACACUGGUGGCUAUCCAGUGAUGGCUGAAAUAGGGGCUAAUCCCCAGUAGACAAAGCCUUAUUUAGAUUCCCUUGGACUUGCACCCCUUUGCCUGAAUCUGGCUCACAGAAUCUAAGCUGGUGUAUUAAUGUGCCAAGGGUCUAGAAGAGAUGUGUGUGUAGCAGAAAAAAGCAACUGAGAGGAGAUAAGGAAAAGCUGCAAGUUAAAGGUGGGUGUAGUGUGUGGUUUUUUUGUUCUUUUUUUAAGAAUGUCUUGUGGGUCAAAGAUGGCAGAUAUGGAAACAGAAAGUGAACAGAAGAGACUCUACAGUGGUGACCAACAUUCCAGAACCAAAGGGGGAGAUCUCCCCUUUGUGCCUUUCAUGGCAAAUGCCACAGUGCUUAUUCCCAGUGAAGUCUGACCAUUUUAAGUGAGAAAGGAUUUAUUAAAGAUUUUCUAGAUUUACCUCAUGUGGUAAAACCUCUAAAAAAAUCACUGAGGCAGUGCUGGAUGCUUAAACUCAUUUAUAUAUAUUAGAGUGAAUAACGCAUACUUUUCCCAAUGGGAUUUUACCUGGGCACUAGAGGUCUACCAGCAUGGAACUCCUUGCCAGAGUGGUAUCUUAAAAAAAUUGUACAGCCCCUGAAACAAGGGGGAAAAAAUUGAAAAUUGACAAAACAAAAAUCUGAAUUUACAUCCCGGUAUUCAAGAAUCAUAGUUUAUCUGGAUUAUAGUCCUGUUACAUCUUCCACACAGGCAGGGGUUAUAGGCUUUGAAAUAAAAAUGAAAAACCAUGGCUCUGGAAUUGGUCUAGUCUGCCAGGCUCAUGUUUAAUUAUGGAGGCCAGAAAUAGGAAUAAGAUCUCUCUCAGAUGGCCAAAGAUGUGGACUGCACUGCAUCUGAAAAACCUCAGGAUUUAACAUCAGAAGUUUCUGACACAUAUGGGGAGGGGAUUUUAUUUUUUUCUACUGUAAACUUUGAUGUUCUCCUUUGCUCCCUAAAAAUUCUUGUCACUGUUUAUGUGUGAUGGGGUUUGAAUGGUGUACGAAAUACUGUUGCAAUAUUAGAGUUAUCUUUGACUAAUCCUGUUCAUGUUGGAAAAAUGUGCUUCUUUACCUGAAAAUAGAUUUUCAGAAUGUUUGUGUUCAGUACAAUUUGACAAGAUUAGUAAUUUUCAGGAAAGAAAAUGAUUCAAUUUUAAAUGGUUUUCUCCCUCACUCCUUUACCUAAUAAUUUUAAUACUGUGCAUAUUUUUAACUAUAUUCUUGGUUUGGGACUGAGGUAACUUUUGUUGUAGACAGGAGGAGGGAACUAGGUAUUUAUGCCCAUACUUAACCCAUGGUUGUAUUUUAGAGAAAAGGUUAUACAACUGGCCCGUAUUCGGGAAUCUAUUAUUGUGUAUUUGUAUCACCUUAUAAUCUAGAAAACCCUAGUUAUGGACCACGGCCCUUUUCCUAGGUGCUGAGCACUUUCAACUGCCACUGAACUAAAUGAAAAUUUUGUCUGAGUAAAGUUUUAAGAAUGGGCCCUCUACACUAGAAACUUGAUUAUUUAAGGCCUGAUUCUGAUUCCCUAAAGUCAAUGUGGGAGUUGUGGGUUCUCAGCACCUCUAGUGAUCAGACUUAGCUGUUCAAGCUGUAUUUUGUCAAUUUUUCCUCAUAUUUAUUGGUAUAAAAGGGACAGACAAAACACAUUUUAUUUUAAUGCUGUAGAAACUGACCAAUUCAUAAUAAUCAAUAAAAAUAAAAUGGGUAG